UAGGGAAUCUUCGGCAAUGGGGGCAACCCUGACCGAGCAACGCCGCGUGAGUGAAGAAGGUUUUCGGAUCGUAAAGCUCUGUUGUAAGUCAAGAACGAGUGUGAGAGUGGAAAGUUCACACUGUGACGGUAGCUUACCAGAAAGGGACGGCUAACUACGUGCCAGCAGCCGCGGUAAUACGUAGGUCCCGAGCGUUGUCCGGAUUUAUUGGGCGUAAAGCGAGCGCAGGCGGUUUGAUAAGUCUGAAGUUAAAGGCUGUGGCUCAACCAUAGUUCGCUUUGGAAACUGUCAAACUUGAGUGCAGAAGGGGAGAGUGGAAUUCCAUGUGUAGCGGUGAAAUGCGUAGAUAUAUGGAGGAACACCGGUGGCGAAAGCGGCUCUCUGGUCUGUAACUGACGCUGAGGCUCGAAAGCGUGGGGAGCGAACAGGAUUAGAUACCCUGGUAGUCCACGCCGUAAACGAUGAGUGCUAGGUGUUGGAUCCUUUCCGGGAUUCAGCGUCGCAGCUAACGCAUUAAGCACUCCGCCUGGGGAGUACNACCGCAAGGUUG
rnacentral:rRNA from 1 species